rnacentral:rRNA from 1 species
UACGAAGGGGGCUAGCGUUGUUCGGAAUCACUGGGCGUAAAGCGCACGUAGGCGGAUCUUUAAGUCAGGGGUGAAAUCCCGAGGCUCAACCUCGGAACUGCCUUUGAUACUGGGGAUCUCGAGUCCGGGAGAGGUGAGUGGAACUGCGAGUGUAGAGGUGAAAUUCGUAGAUAUUCGCAAGAACACCAGUGGCGAAGGCGGCGCACUGGCCCGGUACUGACGCUGAGGUGCGAAAGCGUGGGGAGCAAACAGG